CGUCUCAGCCAUGCUACCCUGAACAAGCCCGAUCCCAUCUGAUCUCAGAAGCUAAGCAAGGUCGGACCCAGUUAGUACUCGGGUGGGAAACCACCUGGGAAGACCAGGUGCUGUAGGUGU
ensembl:rRNA 5S_rRNA 5S ribosomal RNA